CGAAGACCGCGACGUCUGGCCU
rnacentral:miRNA from 1 species